rnacentral:rRNA from 1 species
GUGCCAGCAGCCGCGGUAAUACCGGCGCCUCAAGUGGUAGUCGCUUUUAUUGGGCCUAAAACGUCCGUAGCCGGUCUGAUACAUUCGUGGGUAAAUCAACCAGCUCAACUGGUUGAAUUCUGCAGAGACUGCCAGACUAGGGACCGGGAGAGGUGUGGGGUACUCUAGGGGUAGGGGUAAAAUCCUGUCAUCCUUAGAGGACCACCAGUUGCGAAGGCGCCACACUGGAACGGAUCCGACGGUCAGGGACGAAGCCUAGGGGCACGAACCGGAUUAGAUACCCGGGUAGUCCUAGGUGUAAACGCUGUGAACUUGGUGUCGGGAGUCCGCAAUGGGCCCCCGGUGCCGGAGUGAAGAUGUUAAGUUCACUGCCUGGGGAGUACGGUCGCAAGGCUGAAACUUAAAGGAAUUGGCGGGGGAGCACUGCAACGGGAGGAGCGUGCGGUUUAAUUGGAUUCAACGCCGGAAAACUCACCAGGGCCGACUGUUAGAUGAAGACCAGUGUAACGAACUUGUCGGAUUUUCAGAGAGGUGGUGCAUGGCCGUCGUCAGUUCGUACUGUAAAGCGUUCUGUUAAGUCAGAUAACGAACGAGACCCUCAUCUCUAUUUGCUACCCGUCUCUCCGGAGGCGGCGCACUAUAGGGAGACCGCUGGUGUUAAACCAGAGGAAGGCGAGGGCAACGACAGGUCAGUACGCCCCGAAUGUCCUGGGCUACACGCGCGCUACAAAGGACGGGACAAUGGGAUGCUAGGCUUCGAGAGGCCACGCUAACCCGAAACCCGUUCGUAGUUCGGAUUGAGGGCUGUAACUCGCCCUCAUGAAGCUGGAUUCCGUAGUAAUCGUGUUUCAACAUAGCACGGUGAAUAUGCCCCUGCUCCUUGCACACACCGCCCGUC